AACGAACGCUGGCGGCAUGCCUAACACAUGCAAGUCGAACGAGACCUUCGGGUCUAGUGGCGCACGGGUGCGUAACGCGUGGGAACAUGCACUUAGGUUCGGCAUAACUCCCCGAAAGGGGUGCUAAUACCGGAUAAUGUCUUCGGACCAAAGAUUUAUCGCCUUUGGAUGGACCGGCGUUGGAUUAGCUAGUUGGUAGGGUAAAAGCCUACCAAGGCGACGAUCCAUAGCUGGUCUGAGAGGAUGAUCAGCCACACUGGGACUAGGACACGGCCCAGACUCCUACGGGAGGCAGCAGUGGGGAAUAGUGGACAAUGGGCGAAAUCCUGAUCCAGCUAUGCCGCGUGAGUGAUGAAGGCCUUAGGGAUGUAAAGCUCUUUUACCCGGGAUGAUAAUGACAGUACCGAGAGAAUAAGCUCCGGCUAACUCCGUG
rnacentral:rRNA from 1 species